rnacentral:rRNA from 1 species
GAUGAACGCUGGCGGCGUGCCUAAUACAUGCAAGUCGAGCGAACGGACGAGAAGCUUGCUUCUCUGAUGUUAGCGGCGGACGGGUGAGUAACACGUGGAUAACCUACCUAUAAGACUGGGAUAACUUCGGGAAACCGGAGCUAAUACCGGAUAAUAUUUUGAACCGCAUGGUUCAAAAGUGAAAGACGGUCUUGCUGUCACUUAUAGAUGGAUCCGCGCUGCAUUAGCUAGUUGGUAAGGUAACGGCUUACCAAGGCAACGAUGCAUAGCCGACCUGAGAGGGUGAUCGGCCACACUGGGACUGAGACACGGUCCAGACUCCUACGGGAGGCAGCAGUAGGGAAUCUUCCGCAAUGGGCGAAAGCCUGACGGAGCAACGCCGCGUGAGUGAUGAAGGUCUUCGGAUCGUAAAACUCUGUUAUUAGGGAAGAACAUAUGUGUAAGUAACUGUGCACAUCUUGACGGUACCUAGUCAGAAAGCCACGGCUAACUACGUGCCAGCAGCCGCGGUAAUACGUAGGUGGCAAGCGUUAUCCGGAAUUAUUGGGCGUAAAGCGCGCGUAGGCGGUUUUUUAAGUCUGAUGUGAAAGCCCACGGCUCAACCGUGGAGGGUCAUUGGAAACUGGAAAACUUGAGUGCAGAAGAGGAAAGUGGAAUUCCAUGUGUAGCGGUGAAAUGCGCAGAGAUAUGGAGGAACACCAGUGGCGAAGGCGACUUUCUGGUCUGUAACUGACGCUGAUGUGCGAAAGCGUGGGGAUCAAACAGGAUUAGAUACCCUGGUAGUCCACGCCGUAAACGAUGAGUGCUAAGUGUUAGGGGGUUUCCGCCCCUUAGUGCUGCAGCUAACGCAUUAAGCACUCCGCCUGGGGAGUACGACCGCAAGGUUGAAACUCAAAGGAAUUGACGGGGACCCGCACAAGCGGUGGAGCAUGUGGUUUAAUUCGAAGCAACGCGAAGAACCUUACCAAAUCUUGACAUCCUUUGACAACUCUAGAGAUAGAGCCUUCCCCUUCGGGGGACAAAGUGACAGGUGGUGCAUGGUUGUCGUCAGCUCGUGUCGUGAGAUGUUGGGUUAAGUCCCGCAACGAGCGCAACCCUUAAGCUUAGUUGCCAUCAUUAAGUUGGGCACUCUAAGUUGACUGCCGGUGACAAACCGGAGGAAGGUGGGGAUGACGUCAAAUCAUCAUGCCCCUUAUGAUUUGGGCUACACACGUGCUACAAUGGACAAUACAAAGGGCAGCGAAACCGCGAGGUCAAGCAAAUCCCAUAAAGUUGUUCUCAGUUCGGAUUGUAGUCUGCAACUCGACUACAUGAAGCUGGAAUCGCUAGUAAUCGUAGAUCAGCAUGCUACGGUGAAUACGUUCCCGGGUCU